CCUACGAGUGGCAGCAGUGAGGAAUAUUGGUCAAUGGACGAGAGUCUGAACCAGCCAAGUAGCGUGAAGGAUGACUGCCCUAUGGGUUGUAAACUUAUUUAUAAAGGAAUAAAACGAGGCACGUGUGCCUUUUUGCAUGUACUUUAUGAAUAAGGAUCGGCUAACGCCGUGCCAGCAGCCGCGGUAAUACGGAGGAUCCGAGCGUUAUCCGGAUUUAUUGGGUUUAAAGGGAGCGUAGAUGGGUUGUUAAGUCAGUGGUGAAGGUUUGCGGCUCAACCGUAAAAUUGCAAUUGAUACUGUCAGUCUUGAGUAUAGUGGAGGUAGGCGGAAUUCGUGGUGUAGCGUUGAAAUGCUUAGAUAUCACGAAGAACCCCGAUUGCGAAGGCAGCUUACUAAACUGUGACUGACAUUGAUGCUCGAAAGUGUGGGUAUCAAACAGGAUUAGAUACCCGUGUAGGC
rnacentral:rRNA from 1 species